ensembl:lncRNA
AUUGGGAGGUAACAGCUCUCUUGAUCUGGGUUCUCUCAGAAGCAGUCCUCGAGGGUCCCAGUGCAAGUAGUUCAUCUGGGAGGUGGUCCCAGAAAACACUGGCAGGGGAGUAGGGGAGUGAGACAGGAAAGAGAAGGCAGCCAGCAAAGGGUGUCUCAUACAGCCAGUUACCACUGCGGGCAAUGGGGUGCGGCCCUGCCAGGCCUGCUGGCAGCCAUCUGGCCUGGGAGGGAGCUGGGGUCACUGGCUGAGGCUUCUCCUGGGGGAUGUUAAUUCUCCAGAACUUCUGGCCUGCCAGUCACAUGGGCACGGGGCUCCAGUGGCCAGAACAAGUCCUGAGCAAAGGAAGGCGGGUGGUGGCAGCCGUGCAGGCCAGUGUGCACUGAAACAUGCCAGGGCGGCCACAGUGCCUGCUACCAGAGCCUGCUACCAGAGCCUGGCUCUCUGUGGUGUUCAGUGCAGCUUUCCCACAAUGCACUGUGUGGCCCGUGCGUCCUGGAGAAGCUUCUCAAGAAGGAAUUCUGUGGUCGGGAGAGUUUGGGAAAAGGGGCAUUCUCUAACGCCCCCUUGCAGAGUCAAAUGCGCAUCCACCAGUUAGCGGCUCUUAGACAACCAUGAUAAAUGUCUUUGUUUCUCUUUGCCUAACUUACGUUUUCCCAAAUUUAUUUGACUUCAGAACCUUUGAAAGAAUGUUUUUAGCAUUUUGCAGGCCACCUUUUAACAUCCACAAAGGACAUCUUUUCUUUUUGCCUUCCUGGCAUCCAUUCCUCCUCCUUCCAAUGACGCCAUUCAGAUUUGCUUUGGAAAUGUUUCUGAGGCUGAGGCGGGACUGACUGCUUAGCUGUGCCUGUGACCUAGGAUUGGCCGAUCAUUAUACCUCACUCUCUGGCCACAGUGAUUGGUGGAUACAGGGACACAUGAUCCAGUUCAGACCAAUGAGACACAUUCCUGAGACUUUGGUGGAACUAAUUGGAAAGAGCAGGGCUUUAUCCAUGGGGUGCCAAGCCCAUAAGACAUAGGCUUGGAGUUUUGCAGGCUUCCACUUGGAGAGAGGCUGCCAGAGAAGGAAGGCACCAGAGAGGAAAGCAGAGUCGAUAGAAAGGGAAAAUAGAAGAAUUGAGUCCUGAUAGCCUCAGCACCCAGAUCCAAUGUGCAUGAAGCCAUCACUCCUUGAUGAGCAAUCAAAAAUAUUUUUGUUUUUUUCUUAGGUCAAUUUCAGCCAGGCUUUCUGACACUUGCAGCAAAAAGAUUCUUAAUGGAUAACCAUGGCUGCUAUCGUUUUCACCAAAUCCCAACCACAAUCAGGAUCACUCAGCAGGGAGGAUGUGGGCCUGGAGCUUCUAGGGACCACCAUGUGGAGGGCACCCAUGAGAGAGAAGGCAGCACGGAGGUGAGCAAUGCUGAGGUUGUGAUAUAGAAAGUAUUGCUGACUUUAUUUUUGGAUGAGGAAACUGCGACUUGGAGCCACGAGAUGACUCGCCCCGGCCUUUGGUGAGCGGCAACUAGUUCCGAAAGGGGCCUCCCCCGUUCCUGAGCCAUGGAUGGGCCUGGCCAACUGAAGCAGGUGGACUUCUCCGAGUUCCCAUGGGUGGGAGGGGCCUCCCCUUCUUCCCUCUCCGGCCUGUGGCUGAUCUUGAGAGAGGAAAUGUCACAUGCAGCCCCAGCUGUGGGGGGUGGGACGAGGCUUCACCGGGCGGAGGCUGCAGCCCCAGCUGCUGUGUGAAAAGACCUCACAGACUGAGGGACCUGGAGCCUCAGCACUCAGCCCCUCCCUACGGGGCCAGCUGAGUCGCUGCAGGGAAUCCGUCUCCAAGGAGGCAGGGCCUGCUCUGGGCAGCCCCAAGGCCCUCGAAAGAGACCUCCAGCCAACUGCUCACCAGUGGUGCGACCUGGGACAGGGCCCUGGUCUCUCUGAGCCUCAGUGUUCUUACCUGUCAAAUGGGCAGGUUGUAGCAGGACUCAAAGGAGAGGAUGUGUGCACAGCAGGGUGGCGUGGAGGGUUGACUUGUGGUGGCCUAGUAAUUUGAGACAUCAAACAAUGUGUUCUGUUUUCCACCACCUGCCACAAAAGCAGCUGGGCAGGGAGAGGGAGAGCCCAAACUGCUGGUUCAGGGACUGCGCCAGGUGUGAGACAGAGGGACCAGGGAGGGCAGGCCAAGUGGGAGGACUGUUUCUCCUGCCAGCAAGAGAGAAAAUGUGCUCGAGCUGGAAUGGGCCCGCCAGGGAGAGUUUGAGACGGUGAGGAGCGGGUGGGGCUUUU